ensembl:lncRNA
AUGUAUUUUAUUCUACUAGAGGAGAGAUGUAUUUUUAUUCUACUAGAGGAGAGAUGUAUUUUAUUCUACUAGAGGAGAGAUGUAUUUUAUUCUACUAGAGGGAUGUAUUUUAUUCUACUAGAGGAGAGAUGGAGGGAUGUAUUUUAUUCUACUAGCGGAGAGAUGGAGGGAUGUAUUUUAUUCUACUGGAGGAGAGAUGGAGGGAUGUAUUUUAUUAAACUAGAGGAGAGAUGUAUUUUAUUAAACUAGAGAGGUGGAGGGAUGUAUUUUAUUCUACUAGAGGAGAGAUGGAGGGAUGCAUUUUAUUCUACUAGAGGAGAGGUGGAGGGAUGUAUUUUAUUAAACUAGAGGAGAGAUGGAGGGAUGUAUUUUAUUAAACUAGGAGAGAUAGAGGGAUGUAUUUUAUUAAACUAGGAGAGAUAGAGGGAUGUAUUUUAUUAAACUAGGAGGGAUGCAUUUUAUUCUAGAGAGAUGGAGGGAAGUAUUUUAUUAAACUAGAGGAGAGAUGGAGGGAUGUAUUUUAUUCUACUAGAGGAGAGAUGGAGGGAUGCAUUUUAUUCUACUAGAGGAGAGAUGUAUUUUAUUAAACUAGGAGAUAUGGAGGGGUGCAUUUUAUUAAACUAGAGGACAGAUGGAGGGAUGUAUUUUAUUAAACUAGAGGAGAGAUGUAUUUUAUUAAACUAGGAGGAGGGAUGCAUUUUAUUAAACUAGGAGAGAUGGAGGGACGUAUUUUAUUAAACUAGAGGAGAGAUGGAGGGAUGUAUUUUAAUCUACUGGAGGAGAGAUGGAGGGAUGUAUUUUAUUAAACUAGAGGAGAGAUGUAUAUUAUUAAACUAGAGGAGAGAUGUAUUUUUUUUAAACUAGGGGAGAGAUGUAUAUUAUUAAACUAGAGGAGGGAUGUAUUUUAUUCUACUGGAGGAGAGAUGGAGGGAUGUAUUUUAUGAAACUAGAGGAGAGAUGUAUAUUAUUAAACUAGAGGAGAGAUGUAUUUUUUUUAAACUAGGGGAGAGAUGUAUAUUAUUAAACUAGAGGAGAGAUGUAUAUUAUUAAACUAGAGGAGAGAUGUAUUUUUUUUAAACUAGGGGAGAGAUGUAUUUUAUUAAACUAGAGGAGAGAUGUAUAUUAUUAAACUAGAGGAGGGAUGUAUUUUAUUCUACUAGAGGAG